CCCCCCCCACCCGUUAUUUCUGAAAGGUAUUUAAGUGGCUUUGGUUUUAUGCUUAGUUUUCUGUAGAGUUGUUUAACUACCUCUGUUUAAUUUCUGGAAUUUCUACUCUCAGUGAAAAUGAGUGUGUGUUCUUUGGACCCACUGUCGAGCCCAUUUUUCUGGUUUUCUGGGUAUGUCCAAGUAGACACAUGGCAGAGAAAUGUGUCUUUGGGGAUGGCACAAAGUAUGAAGUUUGUUAACAGUGUCCUCGGUUGUGAGUACUGAGAGGUAGUUAAGAGUCUAUGACCACGCUACCCGAAAUGUCCCCAUCUUCUCUCCUCUGGAAAGCUAAGCAGGGCCUGGUUGGUACUUGGAUGGGAGAUGUGGUUAAGAAGUCUAGAAAUCUCUGUCUAGCCACGGUUAUGCCUGUCUUCAGUUAAGCCAAUUUAAAUUGAAUGUCAUUACAGUCUGAAGAUUCCCACUCAGUAGCUCAUUCUUUUGAAGUUUUUCUUUUUCUUUUUAAUUAAACUCAAGUUGACAUGAAGCUCCAGGUGAAUUUUCACUUACAAUGGCGUUGUUCAGUUAUUACCGAAGAAUAGCAUUUGAUCUACCACAGCCAGGAGUAAAGAAAGACAUGCAGACACAGUUGCCUCCUUUAAAGUUUUCCUUGUUGAUUAUUUAUUUAUUUAUUUUUGAUUACCCUAAUCCCUACAGAUUUAUACCCUAAACAUUUUUCCUCAAGAAUUGAAAAUGUUUUAAAACUGCAAACGGAGUAAAUUCUGAACAAGCAUACAAAUAUAAGGUCAUAUCAUUACAAACUUAAAUUGUGAUUUUUUUUCUUUUCUCACCUCAACUCCACCUGUUUUUAUGGACCCUGGGAACGUCUGUAGUGUGGAUCCCCCUCUUCCUUGGAUAACCGUCUAACCGAGUCUUAAAGCAGCAGCUCUUCACA
rnacentral:lncRNA from 1 species